UCGCAAGAGGGAUCUAUGGUUAGUGGCGCACGGGUGAGUAACGCGUAGGUAAUCUGCCUUCAGGGCCGGAACAACCAUUGGAAACGAUGGCUAAUGCCGGAUAAGACCACAUAUAGCAAUGUAUGGGGUAAAAGGAGUAAUUCACCUGGAGAUGAGCCUGCGUCCUAUCAGGUAGUUGGUAAGGUAAUGGCUUACCAAGCCUAAGACGGGUAGCCGGUCUGAGAGGAUGAACGGCCACACUGGAACUGAGACACGGUCCAGACUCCUACGGGAGGCAGCAGUGAGGAAUUUUGCGCAAUGGGGGAAACCCUGACGCAGCGACGCCGCGUGGAGGAAGAAGGCCUUCGGGUUGUAAACUCCUUUUGUAGGGAAAGAUGAUGACGGUACCUUACGAAUAAGCCACGGCUAACUCUGUGCCAGCAGCCGCGGUAAGACAGAGGUGGCAAGCGUUGCUCGGAAUUACUGGGCUUAAAGGGUGCGUAGGCGGUUAGAUAAG
rnacentral:rRNA from 1 species